GACGGAGGGUGCGGGCGUAUUCGUUUUGAUUGGGUGUAAAGGGUACGUAGGCCGUCUCUAGUUUUUUGGCAAAAAGCUGCGGAGGGUUCCUACGCGAUUGCCUUUUAAAACAGAAUUCUUGUGUUAAAGAGAGGUAGGGACAAGUUCUUAUGUAGGGGUAAAAUCCGUGCCAUAUGAGAACGAACGUCAGCAGGCGGAGGCGCCUUUCCAGUUUUAACAGACGCUAAGGUACGGAAGCCUAGGGAGCAAACGGG
rnacentral:rRNA from 1 species